ensembl:lncRNA novel transcript
AGCUGCCUCCUUUUUGCUAGUGUUGAAAAUGAAAUUAUAUUCUUUUUUCUGAAAGCUUAUAAUAAAUUAUGACUUUCUUUUAAAUGACAAAUGCUUUGAGUAGUGACCUUCUAUUCUGCAUCCUAAAUGCAAUAUGUGUAGCUGUGUUUUGCUUUCUUGUCUUCUAAAUGUUUCAGUGUUUGAACAUUCACUUGAGCGAUAUUUAAUUAUCACAGUUGGUCAGGGUUGAUUGCAGUGACUGAAACAGGACCUUGAUGUUUUUAGUUUUGAUUUUUACCAUUUUCAAAUCCAUCCGGUUUACAUUGUGUAAUCAGUAGACGUUUACAGAUCAGCUUCCUGUCCUAAUUGAAGCACAUUGUUACAAACCAUUUUUCAGUCUCUUCUAGUUUACAGAAAACCAGAUUUACUCUGAUGGUCAAAAAUAUGGUAGUAUUUCUGUCUCAUUCGAAGGCCUAGAGUUUGUGUCUAGGCAGAAGUUACUGAGUAUGUCCCCUUAUAACUAAAUGAUGUUUGAAGCUGGUGGUAGAAAUGAAAGUCUCUGCAUUCAAUGUGAAAUUUAAGAAUUUUACUGAAAUUAGAAAAGAGAAAAGUAACCCCUAUACUUGCUACUCUACGAUAGCAUUUACCCCAAUGUUGAUCUGGUAGAGCAGGGUGUGAAAACAUCCAGGGAGAAAAUUUUUUUACCUCACAGGGUCUAGCAUCAGCUGAUCCAGGCAUUGUUGACUCAAAACUCAUCUAGUCAUCUAGUCUUGGCAUCUCCAGUUUCCCUCUCCAAAUUGUUUAUCUUAUUUAAGUCCAUAUUGGAAGCCUAUAGAAAAUGAACCUAAUCAAAGAAGCAAACACUGUUACUGAAAAGGAAGCAGAAAAACACUUCAGUGGCAAAUAAAACGGCUGUUCAUUUCAUUUGGUGUUUCACUGUAUUGAUGACCUCAGUAAUGGCAUGAUUAUAUUUUUCUGAGGCUGAUUUGAACUCCACCAGAUGCUUCUCAUAACUUUUGAUGGCUGCUUGAAGCUGUGUUUUUUCCACUGCUCCCAGGAUGGCACGGACAAUCAUAUCUAUGCCAAGGCCAAGAACAGCAACUCCAAUACUACCAAGGAGAGAAGCACCAAUUUGAGCUAACACAGUGACCAACUUGUUAAUUAUGCCAGUUGUGACAUUUGAGCCCACAAGUUUAACAGCGACUGCACUGGCUGCAGAUGUAGCUUCUCCCAGGAUGACCGAAAUAACCUUUUGCACUAUUGCAAUUUUGUCUGUUUCCUUUUCCUUAAUAUCCUGAAGUUUUCUAUAGAGGGUUGGCUCUAGCUUAUCUUUUAGUGCUUCAUCAACCUUCUGCAAUUCCUUUUGGAUUUUCAUAAUGGCUUGGAUGAUGAGGUCACAGUUUUCUUUGAUGGUCCCAUCUCUUUUCAUCUCAAUGGAGGCCAGCCUGCACCCCAAGUGCAUAUUUAGAACCUCAGUCAGCUUAUUGGUGACAUCGAAGCUGUCAGAUAAGCAAUCAAGAAGCUGCUGGUGAAGACGAUUUACUUCUUCCCGCCUUUUUGGGUUCUCUGGGUAAAGGAAGUCACUUUGGGCCAUAUUUCCAAUAUGAUCGCUGAAAAAUAAAAUGGUAAAUUUUUACUGAAAGUCUUAAAAAAUGUCUGCUAACUGUGUAGAAGGGACUAGGAAAUCUUUUUCUUCAUGCAUAGCAAAGAAGCAAGAUGCUGUCUAAGGAUAAUUCCUCAGAACACUCAACAAGUUUUUUUAAAAGAGGGAGUAUCGCUGUGUCACCCAGGCUGGAGUGCAGUGGUGCGAUCUCAGCUCACUGCAACCUCUGCCUCCCAGGAGAAUCACUUGAACACGGAGGUGGAGGUUGCAGUGAGCCAAGAUGGUGCCACUGCACUCCAGCCUGGGCAACAGAGCGAGACUUUGUCUCAAAAAAAAAAAAA